CCCAUAAUGACAUCACAAUACCCCAUAAUGACAUCACAAUACCCCAUAAUGAUAUCACAAUACCCCAUAAUGACAUCACAAUACCCCAUAAUGACAUCACAAUACCCCAUAAUGACAUCACAAUACCCCAUAAUGACAUCACAAUACCCCAUAAUGACAUCACAAUACCCCAUAAUGACAUCACAAUACCCCAUAAUGACAAAGCAAAAACAGGUUUUAAGAAGUUUUUGCAAAUGUACUAAUAAAAAAAAACUGAAAUAUCCCAUUUACAUAAGUAUUCAGACCCUUUACUCAGUACUUUGUUGAAGCGCCUUUGGCAGCGAUUACAGCCUCGAGUUUUCUUGGGUAUGACGUUACAUGCUUGGUACACCUGUAUCUGGGGUGUUUCUCCCAUUCUUCUCUGCAGAUCCUCUCAAGCUCUGUCAGGUUGGAUGGGGAGCGUCGCUGCACAGCUAUUUUCAGGUCUCUCCAGAGAUGUUCACUGUAUUCACUGUAUUUAGCCUCGAUUUUUAUUUUACUGUUGCUGUUAUUUUUUGUUAUUUGUUUCUUUUAUUUUCUAUUUUUUACUUAACACGUUUUUCUUCUUAACUUCUUAAAGCAUUGUUGGUUAGGGGCUUGUAAGUCAGCAUUUCACUGUGAGGUCUACUACACCUGUUGUAUUCAGCAUUUCACUGUGAGGUCUACUACACCUGUUGUAUUCAGCAUUUCACUGUGAGGUCUACUACACCUGUUGUAUUCAGCAUUUCACUGUAAGGUCUACCUACACCUGUUGUAUUCAGCAUUUCACUGUAAGGUCUACUACACCUGUUGUAUUCAGCAUUUCACUGUGAGGUCUACUACACCUGUUGUAUUCAGCAUUUCACUGUAAGGUCUACCUACACCUGUUGUAUUCAGCAUUUCACUGUAAGGUCUACUACACCUGUUGUAUUCAGCAUUUCACUGUGAGGUCUACUACACCUGUUGUAUUCAGCAUUUCACUGUAAGGUCUACCUACACCUGUUGUAUUCAGCAUUUCACUGUGAGGUCUACUACACCUGUUGUAUUCAGCAUUUCACUGUAAGGUCUACUACACCUGUAGUAUUCAGCAUUUCACUGUGAGGUCUACUACACCUGUUGUAUUCAGCAUUUCACUGUAAGGUCUACUACACCUGUUGUAUUCAGCAUUUCACUGUAAGGUCUACUACACCUGUUGUAUUCAGCAUUUCACUGUAAGGUCUACUACACCUGUUGUAUUCAGCAUUUCACUGUGAGGUCUACUACACCUGUUGUAUUCAGCAUUUCACUGUGAGGUCUACUACACCUGUUGUAUUCAGCAUUUCACUGUAAGGUCUACCUACACCUGUUGUAUUCAGCAUUUCACUGUAAGGUCUACUACACCUGUUGUAUUCAGCAUUUCACUGUGAGGUCUACUACACCUGUUGUAUUCAGCAUUUCACUGUAAGGUCUACCUACACCUGUUGUAUUCAGCAUUUCACUGUGAGGUCUACUACACCUGUUGUAUUCAGCAUUUCACUGUAAGGUCUACUACACCUGUAGUAUUCAGCAUUUCACUGUGAGGUCUACUACACCUGUUGUAUUCAGCAUUUCACUGUAAGGUCUACUACACCUGUUGUAUUCAGCAUUUCACUGUAAGGUCUACUACACCUGUUGUAUUCAGCAUUUCAC
rnacentral:lncRNA from 1 species